UAAAUUGAUUAGCCAAAGAUCUCUGCUCAGU
rnacentral:piRNA from 1 species